CCAAUAGCGUAUAUUAAAGUUGUUGCAGUUAAAAAGCUCGUAGUUGAAUUUCGGGAUUGGCGUGUCGGUCGUGCCUUAAGGGGUAUGAACUGGCGUCGUCGAUUUCUCACCUUCUGGAGAAACACGAUGUCCUUAAUUGGGUGUCGUGCGGAACCAGGACCUUUACCUUGAAAAAAUUAGAGUGUUUAAAGCAGGCAUUUUGCUCGCAUACAUUAGCAUGGAAUAAUAAAAUAGGACGGUUGGUUCUAUUUUGUUGGUUUCUAGGAUCACCGUAAUGAUUAAUAGGGAUAGUUGGGGGCAUUAGUAUUCAAUUGUCAGAGGUGAAAUUCUUGGAUUUAUUGAAGACUAACUACUGCGAAAGCAUUUGCCAAGGAUGUUUUCAUUAAUCAAGAACGAAAGUUAGGGGAUCGAAGACGAUCAGAUACCGUCGUAGUCUUAACCAUAAACUAUGCCGACUAGGAAUCAGACGAUGUUAAUUUUUUAAUGACUCGUUUGGCACCUUACG
rnacentral:rRNA from 1 species